AACCAAAUUAAUUAACUAAACUUAUCUCAUAUUCUCAAGACAUAAGGGGAAGGAUAUACCAUACCGAAAUUUGUUUACCAUUGUGUUGGCUUUUAAUCCCAUACUACGUGCAUAUUAAUGUGGAAGUAUUCAACAAUUUACAUGCUCAGCAUAAAACAUUCUCCUAUGCAUCAUUAAUCAAAUUGUUGUGCUGACACUCAGCAGUGUCCGUACAUUAUGAACAGAAGAAGAGGAGAAAUAGUUUCAGAAUUGUGAAAGCUAAGGCCAUUCACAGUGUAAGCUAUGAAACCCAUAGCCUUAGCCUCAAAACUUGGUCCAAGUACACCCAUCCUAUAGUGCAAGCACCCAUAGUUAGAGUACCAAACCCACAGCCGGUGGACCCCACGAAAAGGAAUCAUCGCAUCGAGUACUACUUCAUCGCCUCCACUUUCCCGAACUGCACUCGCCUCCUCUCCUCGAGUACUACUCGCGCUGCCUCUCCUCCUUCUCCUCCCUCGCAGCGACGCCGAUGGGAAGCGGUGGCGGGAGACGUCGCCGGCGGCGGCGGCGGGAGUCGUCCCCAGCAGUGGCUGGCGCGGCGGCGUCGGCGGGAGGCGUCCCCGGCAGCAGUGGCUGGCUGACGAGACAGGCAUGGAUUUGAUUGGGGAAAUCUUGGGAUAUCGGUGGAGCGGACGAAUCGGUGGCGGGAGGAGGAGAUUAGCUGCGGUGGGAGAGGAUUUUUUAGGGUGAAUCGGGGAUUUCGCGAUGGGGAUUCGACGUGAGGGUACGACGCGUCUGGGUCACGUGCUCCAUAGCGCACGGAACUUGCUGCACGUGGACUCGCUGCGAGAAAGUUCCUCGCGUCCUUGUUUGGGACCAAGGGGCUCUGCUAGGGCGCGCGACCAUGCUCCACGCAAGCACAAAUCCUCGCUGGUGCGGUGUAGCCCUGGUCCACGUCACUACACUCUGAGAGGCCUAACUAGCUAGCUAUUUCAGCAUUGCUGCUUUUCCCGCGUGAUUGCAACUUUCGUUUGAUUGCGUUGCGAACCACUUGAUAUAUACUAGUAUCAAAUUAAGGCCAUAAUUAAAAAGAAAAAAGCAGAUCAUAAAGAAAUCUUGAACUACGUAAGCACUGUACCUGAAGAAGUUGUCCACAACUUGUAUCUAUGCAUGUCGAAAUCAAAACUGUUUGAGCU